GGGCUUCAGACAGUUUGGACUAGGCUAUGGGCCUUCGGAGCCCAAGACGGGGGUUCGAAUCCCUCCGUGCCCG
rnacentral:tRNA from 1 species